UAUGUUUGUCUGUACAGUUAUGGCUGUCCUGUUAUUAUUUUGUGUCUUGAUCAAUAAUGAGUAGCUAAACCAUAUCGACUUUUGGACACUGAUGCGCAGGAGAACCCCUAGCUGUCAAUCAAGCAGGCGCGGUGAACGGAUUAUGACGCUCGAGCGUUCCAAAUGACGCAACAAUACAGUUCCAGAACAGAGAAAGUUAAUGCCGAAGAUGUUGUUCGGUUCCACACUAAAACUGCUGUUUGACAAGUGUGAUUUGAGAAAUAAAACUUGUAGACCUUUCCUGCAGUCUCUGAGGAGAUGGACACCUCUUCUUCUUCUGGACGAUCUCCGUCUCCUACUGGGACUGUCUUCUUACCCCCUCCUAUCAUGUGGAACAGUCUCUACAAGCAGGCAGAGAUGGAGGUUCAGUUCCUGAGGGAAGAGAAGAAG